CGUGCCCCAAGCAGUUUGGUUGAGGGCCGAGGAGUGACGUGUCGGUUUGCGGACCCACGGGGAGUCGCAGUGGGAAGGCGCGGCCCACUGACUCCCGUCAUGUGACAAGAAGCGGAAACUACGCUGAAAUAGGCCCUUGCUCCAAGUCCCAGUAACUCGGAAUGCGGAGCCGCUCGUCUCCCGUCUUUUUUAAGGUAGAAAUUGUUACCUAAUACAAGGUGAAAGGAGAGGAGGGAAGCAUUUUCUACCUAUUUAUUCUCAAUUAAAACUCAAACGCGGACUGGUCCAGACAGUUCGUCUUUUGCAGGAUGUGCCUGAUAGUUGACUCGAGCUUUUACUGUGCCUUGGUAACUGCGAUGGACCUGGGAACCUUGACAGAGUUCACAGCCCCUGGUUUUGUGAAAGAGCGUGCCUAGGCCUAAAGGGGUUGUCGGGGCUAAGCUGGAAGCAUUUCUACUGCCAGCUGAGACAGCCACCGCCGCGGAGGCACAGCCCUCCCCAGCAGCAAGCGGGCUUCCUCGGGAGACCGGGAGGCAGCCCGGCCAUGCUUAGUCAGUUCAGCCCUUUGUUAAAAUACCGGCCAGAGAGCCGCUCUCCCUAUCCUAACUUGCCUCUCUUCUCUCGCACCCCACGCGCUCCCCGACCCCCAAUAAGUUUGCUGAGGGCAGAGAAGGGGACGAAGUUUGAGCAGCAAUUCCAUCAUCUCAGACUCGCACGUGUACACCUUUAUCCUCAGGCACUUCCACUCCCUGCGCGCCUCGGUGGAAACUGAAGCUGAGCCUGAAGGAAUUACAGAACUUGGAGUAAAUGCUUCUUCAAAAUACGAGUUUUGGUCGGGCGCGGUGGCUCACCCCUGUAAUCCCAGCACUUUGGGAGGCCAAGGCGGGCGGAUCACGAGGUCAGGAGGUAGAGACCAUCCUGGCCAACAUGGUGAAACCCGUCUCUACUAAAAAUAGAAAAAUUAGCUGGGCGUGGUGGCGCGUGCCUGUAAUCCCAGCUACUCGGGAGGCUGACACAGAAUCACUUGAACCAGGGAGUCGGAGGUUGCAGUGAGCCGAGAUCGUGCCACUGCACUCCAGCCUGGCGACAGAGCUGGACUCCGUCUCAAAAAGAAGUUUUUUCUCUUUAAAAAUAAAAAAGCGGGGAGGGGGGCAUUAAAAUUAGAAAGAUUGUGUUCAAGUUUCUUUUGUUUUUUUUUAAGUAUUAACCUAAGAAUAUUAAGGCCGGUCGCGGUGGCUCACGCCUGUAAUCCCAGCACUUUGGGAGGCCGAGGCGGGUGAAUCACCUGAGGUCAGGAGUUUGAGAACAGCCUCACCAACAUGGUGAAACCCCAUCUCUACUAAAAAUACAAAAAUUAGCUGGGCUUGGUGUCAGGAUCCUGUAAUCCCAGCUACUUGGGAGGCUGAGGCAGGAGAAUCGCUUAAACCCAGGAGUUGGAGGUUGCAGUGAGCCAAGAUCGCGCCAUUGCACUUCAGUCUGGGCAGCAAGAGCGAAACUCCGUCUCAAAAAAAGAAAAAGAAUAUUAAGAUGUUAGAGUUUUUAUUAAUUUUUUUCAAAGUAGGCCAGGCGCGAUGGUGGGCUCCUGUAAUCUCAGCUACUCAGGAGGCUGAGGCAGUAGAAUUGCUUCAACCCAGGAGGCAGAGGUUGCAGUGAGCUGAGAUCACGCCAUUGCACUCCAGCCUGGACAACGGAGCAAGACUCUCCCACCAAAAAAAAAAAAAAAAGUAUUAAACAUGUUUCUUAGAAUACAUUUAAGCUUCCAAGUGAUCAAAUUAAGUAAACCUUUUCACAAGUCAAAAUGUACUAUUAAAAAACAAAGUUUGGGGCCGGGUGCAGUGGCUCACGCCUGUAAUCCCAGCAUUUUGGGAGGCCGAGGCGGGCGGAUCAUGAGGUCAGGAGUUCGAGACCAGCCUGACCAACAUGGCGAAACCCCCGUCUCUACUAAAUAUACAAAAAUUAGCCGGGCCUGGUGGCAAGUGCCUGUAAUCCCAGCUACUCGGGAGGCUGAGGCAGGAGAAAUUGCUUGAACCUGGGAGGCGGAGGUUGCAGUGAGCUGAGAUCGCGCCAUCACACUCCAGCCUGGGCAACAGAGGGAGACUCUGUCUCAAAAAAAAAGAACAAAGUUUGAAAAUCUAAUCCUAUUUUUAGGAUGAGUCUUUGAUACCAGUCCAUGAGGAAAGGCUUAUUUGUGAAUAAAAUCAAAGGAAAACAAACUCAUAGGAAAGUCUUUAUAAUUAUUAUAAACAAACCUGGAGGUCCAGGUGUCGUGGCUCAAGAUUGUAAUCCUAGCACUUUGGGAGGUUGAGGCGAGAGGAUGGCUUGAGGCCAGGGGUUGGAGACCAGCCUGGGCAACAUGAUGAGAUGCAGUGUCUACAAAAAUAAUUUUUAAGAAUUAGCUGGACAUGGUCGUGCUGGCCUGUAAUCCCAACUACUGAGGAGGCUGAGGCAGGAGGAUUGCUUGAGCCCAGAAGUUAGGCGGCAAUGAGCUAUGAUCACGCCACUUCACUCCAGCGUGGGCAACAGAGCAAGAAAGACUCUGUCUCUAAAAUAAAAUAAUAAAUAGGCCGGGCAUGGUGGCUCAUGCCUGUAAUCCCAGCACUUUGGGGAGCCAAGGCUGGCAGAUCACCUGAGGUCAGGAGUUAAGGACCAGCCUGAUCAACAUGGAGAAACCCCGUCUCUACUCAAAAUACAAAAUUAGCUGGGUGUGGUGGCACAUGUCUGUGAUCCCAGCAACUCGGGAGGCUGAGGCAGGAGAAUCUCUUGAACCUGGGAGGCGCAGGUUGCCGUGAGCCGAGAUUGCGCCAUUGCACUCUGGCCUAGGCAACAAGAGUGAAACUUCGUCUCAAAAUAAAAGAAAAUAAACCUACAGUUUAUACGUGAAUUAUAGUGUAUCAGUUAAUCCUCCUCCCUCCUGAUUUAUAAGUCCAAAAGUUUUGAACUGGUUGUUUCAGAAAACAAUGCUUUUACUAUUUCAUCAGUUGCUUAAAAGGAAUGUUUUGAUGUAGAAGUUAGAACUUUUUCGUAGAGCUUUUCAUUUUUCUUAAAGCGUCAGUUUACCUUUCUUGUAUAUCAUUAAUCAAACGAAACUCAUGCCUUCAUCUCAUCUGUAGCACACCAGAGUAAUAGUAUCUGUGUUCUCCAAGCUGUUCUCUCCAGAAACCACGUUUCUACGUGUGUGCAAAGUUGUAUUACUGGGAUUUCCCCUGAAUGCACUUCUGGAUUCCACUGUUUCGUGUUAUUUGGUUGGGUGUUUUGUCUUAAUAAGACAUAGUUCUUUUUCUUUUUUUUCAUAG
rnacentral:lncRNA from 10 species